rnacentral:rRNA from 1 species
GCAAGUACGAACGGUGAACAGGUAAUGCAGCUUGCUAGCUUGUCGCUGACGAGUGGCGGACGAGGUGACGUAAGUGUCUGGGACAACUGCUCUGAUGGAGGGGGAUACACUACUGCGAAAUCGGUAGCUAGAUCACCGUCAUAAUCGUCGCAAGACCAGAAGAGUGGGGACCUUCGGGUCCUCUCUGACCAUCGUGAUGUGCCCAGCAUGGGAAUUAGCUAUGUAGGUGGGGUAACGGCUCAGCCUGAGGCGACGAUCCUCUAGUCUGGUCUGAGAGGAUGCACCAGCCACAGCUGGCAACUCGAGCACACGGGUCCCAGCACUCCUAACGGGGCAGUGCAGUCAGUGGCGGGAACCGGCCCGGGCGAUGCCGUGGCUGCAGGCGGGGACGGCGGCGCGCGGCGGCGCGCGCGCCGGGGGGGGCGCG